GUUUCACAUUACAGGUACAUAAAUGGAAUAAUUCACCAACAACAGUCACUCAGGUGGACGGAUGGACAGGUACACAGACUGAGUAUGAAGAAAUGCAUCAAGCAAACUGCAAUUUAAUAUUUCACAGUAAACUCAAAGCCAUGAAAUAAAAUAACAAUAAUAUUAACAAUAAAAAUAUAAAAAAUAAGCAUAAUAUCAAAUUCACCAUUUACUUUCAGUUUUCUGAACAAAACUGAUCGCAGUUCAGGAACAAAAUAAACUAACAAACAAAAAGUGAAGAAAAGAUAAAAAGAAGAAAAAUCAAGUGAUAUGAUAUCUUUGGCAAAUUCGCACUGCAGUAAAAUACAUUCAAAUAUUAAGACAACACACAACACACAAAGAGAAAAAACACCAAGUUUUGUUUGCAACUACUAGAAAAUUGAAUAAAAAACAUACAGGUUUUCUUAAAGAAGCAUUUCUUUUUACUUUUUUUUUUUUUAAUCCUCCCCUCUAGAAUAUUUGAAGGCAUUUCUCGUCUUCGUUUUUGUGUUUGUAACUCUUUUUCUUCUAUUUCAUAUGGUUUUUGUACAAGAGUUUGUCCUUUAAAACAGGCAUCACAGGCUUUGGUGAAUGUUACAGAUAUGUUAUCUUUUUUGUCCCAUUUUAAUGUUGAAGAAUAGAACACACUGAAUCGUUGGACCCGAAUUAAAUUUUUGCCUUUUUGUCUUUUGUUUGUUCAUUUUAUUUAAAUUCAUAUUUUAUUUUAUUUUAUUUGGACCAAAAUGUCACAGAUAUAAAUAUCUCUUCAAAACCCCAGAUAGGAAGUCAUGGACACAAAAAAAACUCCAGAUUGUUACACGAAAGGCCACAGUAAGGUGAAAAAUUAUGUAUCUAUUCUUUUUUUCUUUUUUUCUUUUUUUUUGAUUGAAACAUCUGCUUAAAAAGCACAGUUGAUUUUUGUAGGCUGAGUCGUGUGUAUUACUCCUCUUCCACAGUUGAAUAAUAUUAAGAUGUACAGAACAUUGUAACACUUCAGUAUGAGAUCUGUCCAGAGCCUAGUUAUAUCAGCAAGCAUGAAACAGAUUGUGCCACUAAUUGCUGUCAAGAUGUGAUGCUGAAUUCCCCUCAGGUUUUGGGAAGGCAGUAGCCUUCUUCAUGGAUUCAUAUUGAGAUACAGUCAGGCAGUGCGCACUCGGCAAGAAAUCAUAAUAAAGGAGAAAAAAACUCAUUUGCAUUUAUUUCAGGUUCUUAUUUGACUUGGAGCUGGGAUCAAAAUUCAGGAUGCAAUUUAUUUUCAUGGACAGUAAACUGUGGAAGUGCUGCAAAUGAAAUGUAUUUGUUUGAUCUGAAACUGGUGUUUCUUUGUGUUUCAAAAUGCUCUACAGCCACACGGAGAGGAAAUAGGAAACAGGAGAUGCGAGAUCUCACAGAGUGUUCUUGUCCAAAUAAAGACGCCGGCAGCAAUAUUGCCAUUGAAAUGACCUCGCUUUGGCACGAAAAACACCCAGCUUGAUUCCUAUGCAGAAUAUCUGACAGGACAGCGAGCAUCACGUCUGAGGAGUCAGUGGGAAAAAGUGAGAGAAGUAAGAAGGAAAAAGGAUUAAUAGGGCUGUCUGAAGAAAAGGGGAGGACUUCUGAGGAAGGUCACAGCCCUGAAAUCAAGAGAAUACCUUUAAUAUUCCUAAUCCUGGUGGUGUGGCAGUGGGGAGGAGAG
ensembl:lncRNA